rnacentral:rRNA from 1 species
UACGUAGGAUGCGAGCGUUAUCCGGAAUCACUGGGCGUAAAGCGUCCGUAGGUGGGAAUGUAAGUCUUUUAUCAAAUUCUGAUGCUCAACAUCGGGCCGGUAGAAGAAACUGCAUUUCUAGAGGAUGGGAGAGGCUAGUGGAAUUCUCGGUGUAGGGGUAAAAUCCGUAGAUAUCGAGAGGAACACCAAAAGCGAAGGCAGCUAGCUGGAACAUUCCUGACACUAAAGGACGAAAGCGUGGGGAGCGAAA